CCAACGGACUGUGUCUGCCAGCACCCAGCUGAGGCCUCUGGGUAAACUUUCAAGAUUCUCGAGGGCAGGGCGGAGAUCUUGUUGUCUUGCAGCCGCUCCAGACUCCAUGCCCACAUUCGUGUGCUCCUUCCACGUGGAACUCCAGCCCAUCAAGGUCCUAGCCUGCCUGCAAGAGAAGACACACAUUCUCCUUCCUCCGUGGAGCCUCCUCUGACCCCUUCAUGCCUCCUCCCUGGGCCCCAAGCAUAUUGUUUCAGGCGUGUCUGACUCUUUGCGACCCUAUGGGCUGCAACCUGCCAAGCUCCUCUGUCCAUGGGAUUCUCCAGGAAAGAACACUGGAAUGGGUUGCCAGUUCC
ensembl:lncRNA